rfam:Penicillium subrubescens strain CBS 132785 PENSTBscaffold_653, whole genome shotgun sequence.
ACAUCGGAUUUAUUCGAAUCCACUUACGGUCUGAACACAUUGGAGG